AGGGCCAGGAUGCUCAUGGGGAAAUCACAGGGCCUCUUGCCAUUUGUUUACUGUGAAAUUUGAACAAUUAGGUAUUUAUAGAUUUAAAAAUAUUUCCACCCCACUUUUCUCCUUUUAAAAAAAAGGCUCAAGGUGGAUUACAUCCUUCAGAUGGAAUACAUCAAAGCUAGAAACAAGCUAUUUAAAAAUGUCCCUUCCUAGGCAAUACGGCAAAUUUUGAAGGCAUCUUUUGUGAAUUUUCACAGUAUAACCAAGAUUAAAGAUGCUUCAAGACAGAGGGGUUGCUUGUGCUACAAAUGAAGAUCUGUAAAUGUGAUGCAAAACUGACCCAUCUUUUUAACAUGGGAAGGCAACCGGGAAAGAAGACCUGACAGGGUGGUGGGUUGACCCAAUAAAGGAAACCCCAACUCUUGGUCUGCGAGAUCUGGACAGAGCGGCUAAAUGAAAGAAUUGUUUAGAAGUCAUUAAUUCACAAGAGUUGCCAUAAGGUGGAAGUGACCUGACAGCGCAUCGCCCCGUUUCAAUGGGGUAGGAGCUGACAGAAAGGAUCUCGCAGAUUGUCGGAACAAACGCAUCUGCCUGCAGAACUCGGUGCAACCACUUCCACAGACCUAGCCAGACAGAAAGAAUCAGCUAUCAAAGAAAAAUACAUCUGUGGGCCACCCUGCGCCUGUCCCUCCUGCCGAAUUUAGUAACACGGAUGCCCAUGACCGACUGCAGUGAGAAGCUGAUCAGAUAGCACAUUCGCUCAUACCUCGGGCUCGGCGGAGAUUCCUGCCAACUCACUUUGGCCUGCACUCACAACCAUGGCUGCUCCAGGGCUCUGGUCGGUGGACUACGAGGUGUAUGGGGACGUCCAGGGUGAGUCCCUUCUUUGCUUCCCUCCCACACCAUCUCUGACACACUGAUUGUGCUUCUUCCUGUCGGGUGCUUGCGCAUGGCGAGGUCUGUUUUGCACCCUCACCCUGUGGUUCAGGCUGCCAACAGUACACCCCUUGAAAUAAGAUGCCA